UUUCAGGAAAGUAAUCGUUAGGGCUCGAAAUUUAUGAUGCGCUGCAAAUUUUAUCCCUCCCAAGUCUUUUCGAUCUCGUAGGGUUUAUUUCAGCAAUGAGCCAAAAUACCCUUCCCAUUGACUCAGAGUUUCAGAUCAAUGUUGCAGAAUGGAAUUGACCUUAGCACAGUUGAUGUGAGCUAUGUUAGUAGCCGCUCAUGGUAUUUCCUCAAUUUGUUUGGUUUGAUGGGUUUAUUUAAUCUGAUUCUGGGAGAGGAAAAUGCAAUGGAUGAUACACAAUGAAUGCUACAGAUGGUCUUGACAUAGUCCAACAUGAAUGGGCACUCCCUAAAUUCGAGCAUCGGGCCGAAGCAGUAUUGAAAAACCUCGUUAGCUGAACAUCGGGAGCGUAUAAACAGUUGUCAAAAGGGGGUAGUUCGAUUGAAGUUUUCAUCUUACAAGCUUUUCGAUGGAUAUAUGUGAUAGAAGUUGUCAAAAGGGGGCGUAUAAACAGCUGUCCUGUUUGUUUAAUGAUAUACCUACAGGGGGAUGUAUGAUUUCAAUUGCAAGGCUAACAAUUGAAACAAUUUUUCCAUGCUUUGAACUUGAUUGAUAGUGAUUCCUUUGCUGUUACUUUAGCUUGAUUUUUUUUAUGGAUAUAUGUAAAUGAUAAAUCAUGAUAAUUAUCAUCUUACUGCACGACCAUGAGCAUGGAAAACUAGGAGAUUGGUGGUUUAGGGAGAAAAUGAGUUUGAGUAGAUUUCUUUAUGUUAUUUUAUAUAUCUAAUUUCUGAAACUUUGGUGGUGUUUGAAUUGUUUUUUUUGUAUAGUACUAAACUUGUUGAAUUAUAAUUUAAUUUCUUUUCA